rnacentral:rRNA from 1 species
UACGUAGGCAGCGAGCGUUGUUCGGAGUUACUGGGCGUAAAGAGUGCGUAGGCGGUUUUCUAAGUUGGUGUGAAAUCUCCCGGCUUAACUGGGAGGGUGCGCCGAAGACUGGAAGGCUUGAGUAUGGGAGAGGUAAGCGGAAUUCCUGGUGUAGCGGUGAAAUGCGUAGAUAUCAGGAGGAACACCUGCGGUGUAGACGGCUUACUGGACCAUCACUGACGCUGAGGCACGAAAGCGUGGGUAGCAAACAGG